CCUACGGGUGGCAGCAGUGAGGAAUAUUGGUCAAUGGUCGUAAGCCUGAACCAGCCAAGUAGCGUGCAGGAUGACGGCCCUACGGGUUGUAAACUGCUUUUAUACGGGGAUAAAGUGCGUCACGUGUGGUGUUUUGUAGGUACCGUAUGAAUAAGGACCGGCUAAUUCCGUGCCAGCAGCCGCGGUAAUACGGAAGAUCCGGGCGUUAUCCGGAUUUAUUGGGUUUAAAGGGAGCGUAGGCCGCAUGUUAUGCGUGCUGUGAAAUGCCGUGGCUCAACCAUGGCAUUGCGGCGCGAACUGGCUUGCUUGAGUGCGCGGAAAGUAGGCGGAAUUCGUGGUGUAGCGGUGAAAUGCUUAGAUAUCACGAAGAACUCCGAUUGCGAAGGCAGCAUACUGCAGCGCUACUGACGCUGAUGCUCGAAGGCGCGGGUAUCGAACAGGAUUAGAUACCCGAGUAGUC
rnacentral:rRNA from 1 species